rnacentral:rRNA from 1 species
GGCGACCGGCGCACGGGUGCGUAACGCGUAUGCAACUUGCCUCACAGAGGGGGAUAACCCGUCGAAAGACGGACUAAUACCGCGUACACUCCACCUUGGGCAUCCAAGGAGGAGGAAAUGAAAUUCGCUGUGAGAUAGGCAUGCGUCCCAUUAGCUUGUUGGUGAGGUAACGGCUCACCAAGGCGACGAUGGGUAGGGGAACUGAGAGGUUGAACCCCCACACUGGUACUGAGACACGGACCAGACUCCUACGGGAGGCAGCAGUGAGGAAUAUUGGUCAAUGGGCGAGAGCCUGAACCAGCCAAGUCGCGUGAAGGAUGACUGUCUUAUGGAUUGUAAACUUCUUUUAUACGGGAAUAACAAGAGUCACGUGUGACUCCCUGCAUGUACCGUAUGAAUAAGCAUCGGCUAACUCCGUGCCAGCAGCCGCGGUAAUACGGAGGAUGCGAGCGUUAUCCGGAUUUAUUGGGUUUAAAGGGUGCGUAGGCGGCCUGUUAAGUCAGCGGUGAAAUCUAGGAGCUUAACUCCUAAAUUGCCAUUGAAACUGGCGGGCUUGAGUGUAGAUGAGGUAGGCGGAAUGCAUGGUGUAGCGGUGGAAUGCAUAGAUAUCACGCAGAACUCCAAUUGCGAAGGCAGCUUACUAAGGUACAACUGACGCUGAAGCACGAAAGCGUGGGUAUCAAACAGGAUUAGAUACCCUGGUAGUCCACGCAGUAAACGAUGAUAACUGGGCGUAUGCGAUAU